CUUGUGGUGUUCGCAUAGCUUCCGUGUCCCAGUUUGUAGUUCUCUGCUAUUCCUUAAUAAACGCAUUUUUGCUGGUUAAAGAACCAGAAGUUUUAUUUUUAAGGUUAUUAGUCUCCAAGAGAAAGUAUAAGUUUGUAGCGACUGGCAUAGCCUGAGCAGACAGCUAGCGAGAACAAACGGCGGCUAGAGCACGGAGUGGGUGUUGAAGCCUCUGUCACCCCCUCCAUAGCACCAGGCACCACCUCAGCUGCUGAUCCAUGGGGAAGUCUUUUCUAGGAUAUUUGGAGGAAGAUACUACAUUUUCUUUUCAAAGACUGAGGAAACGAUAUCCAUGAGGUUCAACAGCUUCUCAAGCUCUCACAGCUGGCUUUGAUGGGCACAUCCCGAAAGGUCUCAGCCUUGAAAAUAAAGUGGAAACGAGAGGCAGAAGCUGUGUGGCAAGCCAGUCAUGGUGGGGAAGAGAUAGGACAGCGCUCAGGCAUGGGUUCCCAGUCUGGUGAAGUCCUGAGGUAAGUUUCUGGGCGUUGUCCUGACUCUCCUCGGGGUUUCAUGGUCUUGCCACACACUGGGUAGAA